CUUACGGAAGAAGCGAGUAGAUUAGAUCGGUGUGCUACUAAAAAAAGGAUUUGUGACUUGUGUUUCAUCUUUGGACAUGGACAUGAGUAUCUUCAGCCUACUUUCACUCCCUACUAAUUUUGUAAUGUAUAUCUCGGUGCUUGUUUAUAUUGUAUAACCAAAGUGAAAAGUUAGAGCAAUCUUCGUACAAAUUUGAUGGGUUUUUACUCUAUAAAUAGUAUAUACUAUCUUGCUUGUCAAUAUUGAUCACUAAUCAGUUAGAGAAUGUUUAUUAGUCAUUUAGUUGCAGCCUAGGUAGGACAGUUUAUUGCAUUGGUCCCAAGAACUUUCAUCAAAACAACUAUCUUCUCUUCAAAAUUCUCCCUUUAAUUAAUAAUCUACCUUUUUGGCAUAUGUUGCAAGCGUAGACUCUAGAAAUAACAGAAUGUUUAAUAGAAAUGUGUAUAUACAACUGGGACUGGCAUAUAAAUCUUGGCUCUUCAAUGUUUAAUAGAAAUGUAUAUAUACUAGUGAAGUAGAAAUCUUGGAUCUUCAUAGAAAACAGCAUGCAAAGGUGUAUAAUUGAUGUGUUCAGACCAUAAUUGCCGAUUGGAAAGCAAUGAUGUUACGAGCUACGAUGCGCAUCUACAAGAUGUCAUAUGCGGCUAUGGUUCUGUCUAAAUAUUUCACUAUUUAACGUUCUUUUCUCCAGCUGAGAAGAAGCAGCACUAGACGGCAACCAUGCAGGUAAGGGAGGAGGACAUCAGCUGUGCGCUCGAGUAACAGUAAGGAGAGCAGCGAUAUGGAUCAUGCAUGAAGAAAUGAGGUUUUCUACUCUAUUUGAGUGGGGAGAUUCGCCAAUGCAAAGGAAAAGUUAUAUGCUCCGUGUUACUUAUAAAAAAUAUUUCUUCUUAUUGUUGUUUCACUAUGAUUAUUGGUUCCCUUUAUUUGAUACCAUAGUUGGGUGGUUCUCGUCUGACGUGUAUCUGGGUAAAUCACGUGGUUCCUAAGGUGACUGUUUGUUGGUCGAUUAGAACCCGAUAAGAAAGAAUUAUUUUCUUACAUGUUUAUUUGGGUGACCCUGCAUAUACCUCUUUUGCGAAUACACAAAAUCCUUGUGUAUCAUUGCACUAAAAGAGGGAAACAGUUAUAGAGAGUAUAUAAUAUCUGAAGUAUUGUAGGUUUUUGGGUGAAUAUUGGCUUUAUUAUUACAUCUGUUAUGCCUGUCAAUCGAGCCUUUUGCAAUUGAUGCCAAUGAUAAUAAAAAAUUAAAGAGUCUACCACUGUUUUCGUGGUCACAUGAUAUACUACUUCUUUGUGUAAGCUCUACAUCUUGGAAGUUUAAACAUGCAUGGUUGGCUAAUAACAGUGUAUUCUGGAAAUUUGAUAUACUUAUUUGAACCUAUAGCUCUAUGCAGAAUACAUUUUGGAAGUUCAAAAAUGCAUGCUUGGCUAAUAACAGUGUCUUUGGAAGUUUGAUAUACAUAUCUGAACCUGCAGCAUUUCAUUCUGGAUUCAAGCAUAUGCUUGCGCUGCUCAGCCUGUUCAACGAGCAGUUUGGGUCUCUAACAGGUCAGCCUUUUUUGGUCCCUGUCAUUAAGCAAGCUUAAACUGAUAAAGUAUUCACAUUAAAUCUGCAUACAUUUUUUUCAUGGACCGAUGCAAUGGUUUAGACAUGGUAAAUAAAUUGCAUAGAUACCUAUCUAUUUUGAUUUCUACUCAAUGCUUGACUUGAUUUUAACUCAAUGCACAACUCGGAGUUUAUCCUGGGAGUGCCUCUACGAUCUCUACUCAAUUCUUAACUUGCUUUAUGUUUCUUCGAUUUUUUUUCCUUUUAGGUGGAUGGCAUGCCACAGUUUCUGUAAGCCACCUGGGUUCACAUGUAGUGCCUACGCUUGAGCUACAUAUGUCAUGAUGGAGUACAUACCAUUUUAUUAGCGGCACUCGUCCCUUUUGUCAAUGGAUCACAUCUUGCUUUCUGAGAUACAUGAAUAGAGCAAGCAGUGGACUAUCUAUGCCCUUGUUUCUUGCAUGUGGCGCUAUCGUGGAGGGAUGGAGGGACCGUCAAAGGCCCCAUUAGGCAUACUUACUUAGUCUUGUUGGUAAAUAGGGAAACCACGUAUAUGGUCAGAUACCUCCAGAAGCCUACAAGAUGUACUAAAAGAGGGGGAGAUCUAUGCUAUAAAGAAGUUCAUGUGUAACCCAUAAAACCCUUCUUCCAGGCUUGUAUAAAUAACUUCAGAUCUACGAGGAAUAGUGGAAAAGGAAAUUUAGUAGAGUAGCUGUCAUUCAUUCACUGAAAAUAUUAUCGACUGUAAUGAUAUAGGUAUAUAAACCAAGAUUCAAACUGAACAUUUUUGUCUCCCUGCUCACAACAAACAAACCUAAAUUUCAUAGUUUAAACCCUGCCUUGAUUCUGCCAUUUGCGCGAUAGCGCUUGAAUGAUUCCACUGAACACUAAUUACCAACGCUGCUGUAAUAAUAUUAUUGUAACUAUUAUUCAGCUCAUUAGUAAGAUCAUUAUAAAAUUGUUGAUGUUUAAGAGGAUUUGCUGCUGUUUUUGCAGCUUUGUCAUGAUCUGAGCAAAAAGAAGAGUCUCAGGAAGGUGAUUUGGAGGAAGGAGGCGACCAGUACUUGUCAAAACUGUUGUGUUGGAGGAGGGUGAAUUUUCCAUCUAUAAUUUUGUAUUUAAUUUAGUUCGGCGACACCCCUUGCUGACGGUUUGAUCUUUCACUUUGUUGCUUUUCGACCGUCCAAUCUCACUGUUUGACGAAAACUUUUUUCACACCGCUGGUUAGUUUGGUAGAAUAGGUGCGUUGAAUCCAUAUGUUGUCCUGUGGGUUAGAAGAUGCUUAUGAGAGACUUUACUGUGUUUCUCUAUGCCUAUUUAUUUUGGCACUAUUAGGAUAGCUUCUUACUGCGGACAUGUAGAAUGAAACUUCCAGUUGCCUAUCAUGUAGGGAUUUUGAGGUAUUAUUUUGUGCUAUUGAUGAUAAUCCACUGUAUUACAAUUAAUCUGUCUAUGUGCGGAUCUGGUGGUUGAGUUACAGCGAGAAGGCGCAUAGAUGCUUGGGGAUCUGGUGGUUGAAUUUGGUCAUGUGAAUGUCCUGGUCUUAUUUUUUAGAUUUAUUCGUUUCUAGAGCUGGAAAUGUAUGGCUUAGAGGAAGGAGGCCGGGUGUCCCCACCUCAAUGGGAGGAGGAGGAGGCUGUGCGGCAGGAUUGAGGCCAUGGGAUUGAGUUCAUAUUAUCUUGCAAUGCACCUGAUUUAUUUGUGGUUGCAGCAAGUAAAGCUUCCAAAGAACUUGCAAGUUGCUAGAGAAGUGGCAAUCAACUAUGAACUUGCAGGAAUCAGUGAGUUGUGCAGCGAUGCAUAACAACUUUGUCAACCAUGGGUUUUUCUGAAGCUCUUUUCAAAAUCAGAGAGAGUUAAACUACACUGAGGCCUAAGAAAUCUUAGCAAUAACUGCUUUUUCAAUGUUAUCAAUCAUUUGGCAUAUGCUUUUCCAAUGAAUCUGUAUUACAAUGUGCUUCAUGUGUGAGUAUCAUUAUCAUCGGGAACAAGUCCAGACUAAAUCAGAAGAUGUUUCCUUGACAUGCACCUGCUAGCUUCAACCAUUUGUAGGUGAUUCCAUGUAUAGAGCGGGGUACUCACUACCUUCCGUGAUUAAAUUUGUAGGUGUCCAUGUAUAGAGCGAGUUUCAACUAACAGGUUUAAUAUUGAACUAUUUUCAUGCUACUGCAGUUUUUUCAGAUAGCUUCAGUCAUUGUGUUUCUUCCCCAGGAUUGAGCUAUAUGCCGAUGAGGUCUGACCAGGGGAUUGAGAUAUUUGAAGUGUGCACUGGAGUUAUUGGAAGAUAAUUCCAUCAAUGAAUUCAUAACUUUUGGGACAUAAUAAGUUUAGUGGCUACACCGAGAUGUAGAGUUUCUGCGGGAGCGUGAAGCUCGAUCUAAUUCCGCACCACGACUAUGGUUGCGUAUUUGUUGUUCCGUUGAUCUUUAUGUUGACUAGGGUUGUCCAAAAGCUUAAUUUGUCCAUUGAUUGGAAGGUAUAAUUUUUUUCGCUUCCCUCUAUCCUUUUUCUUCCUAUUCUCAUGUGAUUGGAGCUUUUUAUCGAUCUGUUUUUCUCGGUAAUGAUGUGUAUGCUCUCCGUUCCUUAGCCCUUCAUGGCUAUUUCAUUAGUUGGGUAGAAUAUCAUGCCAUUUUCGAAUCCUUUUGGUUAAUUAAAGUCAUAUGAGAUAAAAAAAAAUCAGGGAUUGUAGUGCUUUAGAUAAGGUGGGGAUUGUAGUGUUUUAGAUAAGCUGUGAAUGCAAUGAAAAUAUGAAUACAUGACUGUAUGGCUGCUAUGAAAAGUGGGAGACGGGGUUACUGUGCAGGGUGAAAGUCCUCGAAUAAGCUAUGCCCAUUUUCAAGCGACGAAAGUGGUAGCAGGGAACAACCGAGUGAGGGCGGAAGCUGGAUUGUAGUUCUCACCGGUUAGCACAAAUAUCCAUCUUCGGGCUUACAAUUGGACGUGCCAUGGACUGUAAAUAUUUUUCAGGAAUAACUAGGCUACAAUACUCUUCUGCAAAAAAUACAAUUAGAAGUUGAAUUAGUCAAAAUUUCAUUGUAUGAAGGCAUAGCUUGAGAUAUAAGAGGCGUCACAGUGGCUCAAACACAAAAACAUAUUGCCCAGGACAGUAAAAAGAAUUGUCCACUAUGAAACUAUUAAGGAACUAAAUGUACUGAUAUGACCUUGUCAUCUAUUAAGAUGUAUGUGUGCCUGCUAAAAAUGUACUUGUGAAGUUAGCUUAUGGCUACUAAGAAUAGCACAACAUGGCAUAGAAGCCUGUUAGUCUGAUGUGUCUGAAUUAGUCUGAUGCUUAUGACUACAAUUACACGUGCCAUGGACUGCAAAAUUAUAUUUGUCUGGUUAAUUAGUCUGACGUGUCUGAAUUUUGAAUUUUGCAGCUACCUAGAAGAUUGCUGAUGGUCCCUGAAUUAUGGCCAUAACACUUACAUGUGUGCAGUUAUGCCAUUCUGAUACCGCCUUUUCUUUGCUUAAUGCUCCAGUGCAUUGUCUCUGUAUUGCAGAAAUAGUUCGAUUGUUA